UAUUUCAGGACUGAAGGAGGCUUUUCAGAAGCAAGAAUUCAGAUCUGUAUUUCUUUAAAGAACAGCUGAACAUCGAUCAUGAAGACAUUCAUCAGACAUUCCACCACCUUGUAUCCCUGCUUCAGAUGAGAUUAGCUGGCACUGGCUCCUGGCAUCCAUUAAUCUGGACAUUACCUGCAGCCUACUGAAAAUCCCCAACAGUCGUACUGAAUUCAGAGUCAAGCUUUCAACACACUGCUCCACUUCAGUGCCCUGCUAAGACCCAGCUCUACCCUGGACAAGCUCACAGAUGCAGGAAUUUGAAGGGAUUCUUCCGAUCCACCACCACAUUGUGACUUUCUGCAUAGAAAUGACAAGAUUGUUGAGCUGGUCACCAGGUUCAUCUGCUCCUGCUCUCAGACCCAGGCUUGUGCAACCAGAGAUUAUGUGGGAGUCCGCACAGACAGGAGCUGUGCUGCAGCAGUUUGAGACAGAUACCUUUCCUCUGAGAAUGAACUACUACUUGCAUUCUGCAAACAGAUGCUUGGAAGGAACAAGGAGGGAAGGAGAGGGAUAUGUGCAUCAUCACAUGACAGAAUCUGGCAGUAUAUUGCAGUCUUUUAUAUUUCUGGUGUUUUGA
rnacentral:lncRNA from 1 species